rnacentral:rRNA from 1 species
ACCCGCGUACAUGCCACCGGGGCAUCCCGGAGGCAGGAAAGGCUUCGGCCGGACAGGGAUGGGCAUGCGGCGCAUUAGGCAGUAGGCGGGGUAACGGCCCACCUAACCGACGAUGCGUAGGGGUUCUGAGAGGAAGGUCCCCCACACUGGUACUGAGACACGGACCAGACUCCUACGGGAGGCAGCAGUGAGGAAUAUUGGUCAAUGGUCGGGAGACUGAACCAGCCAAGCCGCGUGAGGGAGGAAGGUACAGAGUAUCGUAAACCUCUUUUGUCAGGGAACAAAGACUGGGACGCGUCCCCGGAUGAGUGUACCUGAAGAAAAAGCAUCGGCUAACUCCGUGCCAGCAGCCGCGGUAAUACGGAGGAUGCGAGCGUUAUCCGGAUUUAUUGGGUUUAAAGGGUGCGCAGGCGGUCUGUUAAGUCAGCGGUCAAAGCCCGGGGCUCAACCCCGGCCCGCCGCUGAAACUGGCAGUCUCGAGUUGGAGAGAAGUAUGCGGAAUGCGCGGUGUAGCGGUGAAAUGCAUAGAUAUCGCGCAGAACUCCGAUUGCGAAGGCAGCAUGCCGGCUCCACACUGACGCUGAGGCACGAAAGCGUGGGUAUCGAACAGGAUUAGAUACCCUGGUAGUCCACGCAGUAAACGAU